GACGAACGCUGGCGGAGUGCCUAAUACAUGAAAGUCGAGCGAAGCGGCGGAUGGGUGAGUAACGCGUGGGUAACCUCCCCUUAAGCCUGGGAUACCAUUUGGAAACAGAUGCUAAUACCGGAUACCAAUUGAAGGACCUGCGAUGCAUUAGCUAGUGGGUAAGGUAACGGCUUACCAAGGCGAUGAUGCAUAGCCGAGUUGAGAGACGGAUCGUCAACAGUGGGACUGAGACACGGCCCAAACUCCUACGCGAGGCAGCAGUAGGGAAUCUUCCACAAUGGACGAAAUUCUGAUGGAGCAACGCCGCGUGAGUGAAGAAGGUUUUCGGAUCGUAAAGCUCUUUUGUUGGUGAAGCGGUAAUCAACCAGAAAGUCACGGCUAACUACGUGCCAGCAGCCGCGGUAAUAC
rnacentral:rRNA from 1 species